GGGGUCGUAGUUCAGCUUGGUUAGAACGCUGGCCUGUCAAGCCAGAGGUCGCCGGUUCAAAUCCGGUCGGCCCCGCCA
rnacentral:tRNA from 1 species